rnacentral:rRNA from 1 species
CCUACGGGUGGCAGCAGUGGGGAAUUUUGGACAAUGGGCGCAAGCCUGAUCCAGCUAUUCCGCGUGUGGGAAGACGGCCUUCGGGUUGUAAACCACUUUUGUAGAGAACGAAAAGUCUAUUGAUAAUACCGAUAGAUGAUGACGGUACUCUAAGAAGAAGCACCGGCUAACUACGUGCCAGCAGCCGCGGUAAUACGUAGGGUGCGAGCGUUAAUCGGAAUUACUGGGCGUAAAGGGUGUGCAGGCGGUUUUGCAAGAUGGAUGUGAAAGCCCCGGGCUUAACCUGGGAAAGCCAUACAUGACUGCAAGACUAGAGUGCGUCAGAGGGAGGUGGAAUUCCAGGUGUAGCAGUGAAAUGCGUAGAUAUUUGGAAGAACACCGAUGGCGAAGGCAGCCCCCUGGGACGCAACUGACGCUCAUACACGAAAGCGUGGGGAGCAAACAGGAUUAGAUACCCCGGUAGUC